AGGGAAUUCGUCCUUUUACGAAUUUUAACGUAAAGACGGAUUGUUCGAUUCUAAGGAUUUCAUCCUUUUACGAAAUGUAACGUAAAGGUAGUUUAUUUGAUCUUAGGGAAUUCGUCCUUUUACGAAAUAUAACGUAAAGACGGGUUGUUCGAUACUAAGAAUUAAUCCAUUUACGAAAUGUAACGUUAAGGUAGUUUGUUCGAUCUUAGGGAAUUCAUCCUAUCGAGAAAGGCGGAUUGUUCGAUACCUUUAUGUUACAUUUCUUAAAAGGACGAAUUCCCUAUUAUCUAACAAAACGGCUUAACGUUUCAUUUUGUAGAAGGAUGAAUUCCCUAGUAAUCUACAAAACACAUUCACGUUAUAUUUCGUAAAAGGACGAAUUCCCUACGAUCGAACAAACUACUUUUACGUUACAUUUCGUAAAACGAUGAAUUUCUCAGGAUCGAACAAACCGCC